rnacentral:lncRNA from 1 species
AGUUGAAUUAAUAAUAAUGAUUAAUGAUUAAGAAAUUGGAAGAGCAAUAAUAUUGAAAGAGAGCGCGUAGGCCAAUGAGACAAUGGGGGGCCCGCAUGCGUUUGUUUUGAGGUGUAUUCGUCGCUCUCGGCAUACAUUUCAUACUUAAACUUGUCCCUCAAUAUCCCUUUAGGGCUAGUUUGAUUUCCUAGUUUAGUCCUUGAUAGAUUAUUAAUCUAGUCUUAUCUUGGUGAUUGGUACUUUUUUAAAAAAACUCUAAAGCCCUACACUAAUACAUGGCCCGUUCUUUUUCUCUUGUAGCUUUUAGGCUAAAUAAUCUCUCCACUCCUAUCCGAUUAUUUAUCCUAGAAUGAAUAGUAGGAACUAUUAAACUAUUGAUUCUCAAUUUUGCCCUCAUUUUUCAAGAUCUGAAAAGUCAUUGUCGAUUCCCCAUUCAUUCUUUUCAAGAUCUGAAUCUCGAAUUGUUUUUCUCGAUACUUCUAGCAUAUUUCUGCACAAUUCUUCUGUUCCAACCGGCGAUUGUUCAACCGAGAUCGGAGCUCUCAGCUAUCGCCUGAGGGGCGGCGCUGCGGCUGAGGAGCGGCAUCCUGCGACGGAAGGGGCGGCGUACAAGGAGUUUCGCCUCCCAGUAGGUGUCACUGUGCAGCCCUAUGUUGAGCGGCUUGUGUUAGUCUACCACAAUUUGGGCAAUCGGUCUUCAUCAUAUUUGUGCACCGGUUUUGGGGCUUUUUGCCUACGAUUAUAUGUUGGUGAGUGAAGGGCCUUGGAGUUUUUAAUGUCAAUUAUUUGUUGAUUUUGAGCUAUAUGUUGGCUAUGAAUGAAAUUCUAUUUCUUGUAGUAGUAGGAGCCCUUCUUAAUGUUGGCAGAUGUAAUACAAAUACUUGGACACCUUUUGUUUCAAUUGUUGUACUGUAGUGUUGAACUUCGAACAGUGGACAAAGAAAAUGUGCUGCUUGUGAAAAUUCUCUGCUAGUAGUGAGAGGAUGAUUUGUAAUUUUUUUAUUUUAUCAAGGUUAUUUUUGUAAAAUUGUAUCUUAGUCAUGAAGUUAAAUAAUGAUACCAAAC